CCGUCAACUGUCUCGUGCUGAGGAUGGGUGACUGAAGAAACUUACUCACGUUUGGCUGUGUGAUGGUCUGGCACCUAAAGACUGAGAUUCUUCAACAUUUAAAGAAAGACUCAUCUGAGAGCCACGCUGUUUUCGAUUAAUGGAAGAAAAAGCAAUGUACUUUGCCAUCAAGGGCCUUCUGUUGGUCUUAAAAAUGAAGAACGCUACAAUUCAAGUGAUUGACACCAAGACUAAAGCAACCAAAUGCUUUUAGAGAUGUCCAAUUACUGCUUGAAGAAGUACAUGGUGACUUUGUAUAAAGUGAGCACAAAAUGAGGAAUGCUGCAGCCAAGAAAGAUAUACAAGCGUCAAGAGAUGUUCUGUAAUGGCUCAACAAAGUACAAGGUGCCUUUGUAUAAAGUGAGCUCAAAAUGAGGAAUGCUGCAGCCAAGAAAGAUAUACAAGCGUCAAGAGAUGUUCUGUAAUGGCUCAACAAAGUACAAGG